GCUGGGCUAGUGCGUACGGGCCGGGCCCGCUGGUACUGCUGGUGGGUCUGGGGCCUGCUGGGCUGCUGCGCAAAUGGGCCUGCUGGGCUGCCCAAAAAAGACCUGAUUUCUUUUUUGUUUUGUUUUGUUUUUUUUGGGGGGGCUUUGCCUUUUUUUUUUAGGGCCUGAAGCUGUCGAGUCGGGUCGUCAGUCGGGUCGGCCGGUACGGGUCGGGUCGGUUUGACCCGACUGUUGAAAAAAUAUUAUUUUUUUUAAUUUUUUCCUCCUUUUUCUUUCUUCUUCUUCUUCUUUCUUCUUUCUCUCUUUUUCUUCUUUUUUCUUUCUUACUUUCUUUCUUCCUCCCCGAUCAGCCCCCCCGCCGAUUUCUCUGCUGCUGCCGGUGCUUCCUCCGCCUGCAGUGCAUCGGCCGACGACGGCGACGUGCGGUGGAGCUCUCCUUUUCUCCCUCUUUUCUUCUUUGCUUGCUCCUUUUUUUUUUUCGUGGGUAUUUUUCUUUGAUGAUUUUUUUUUGCUUGAUUUGCUUUCUUUGGUGGUAGUAGAUGGGAGUAUAACGAUGGUGGCGGUUUGACGACGCACGGUGGUGAUGAGGCUGCUGUUUUUGCUUGAUUUUUCUCUCAAAAAUUUUGUUGUUUUUUUCUUUUUGCUUCCUUGCCUGGCUCCUUUUUUGGGGGGUUUAAAACCCCUUUUUAACUGAUUUUUCUUCUUCUUUUUUGCAGGUUGCAGGUGGCUAGGGAGAGGUAGGCCGGCCGCCGCCGUUGCAGGCGCAAGUUGGGCUGAUUGCUGCCACAGGGACCAAAUCGUAAAUGCAGCAAAAUUUUUGGGGCAAAAGUGUAAUUUUAUAAAGUUUAGAGGUUAAAAUAUAAUUUGGAGAACAUUUAGGGGUCAAAAUGUAAUUUAAAAAAGUUUAGGGGUUGAAGUAUAAUUUUGAGAAAGUUUAGGGGUCAAAAUGAAAUUUUAGAAAAGUUUAGGGGUCAAAUGCAAAAAAAUUAAAAAAUUUUUUUUUUUAAAAAACGAAAGUUAUUCCUGGACAAAAUUCAGUGAUUACAAGGAGGAUUGAAGCCCAGUAAGUUAGGGCACAAUCCUCUCGAGAAUCUUAGAUACCAAGUAUUUUGAACAUUUAUGUGCAAAACGAUUUCGAUAUUUUUCUAAACAAAUGUAAUGCGAUUGAAUGGUAGUGCAUAAUUCAAAAUGAUAAUUCAUAAAUUACG
rnacentral:lncRNA from 1 species